GUGCACGCUGGCGGUAGGCCUAACCCAUGCAAGUCGCACGGCAGCACAGUAAGAGCUUGCUCUUACGGGUGGCGAGUGGCGGACGGGUGAGGAAUACAUCGGAAUCUACUUUUUCGUGGGGGAUAACGUAGGGAAACUUACGCUAAUACCGCAUACGACCUACGGGUGAAAGCAGGGGAUCUUCGGACCUUGCGCGAUUGCAUGAGCCGAUGUCGGAUUAGCUAGUUGGCGGGGUAAAGGCCCACCAAGGCGACGAUCCGUAGCUGGUCUGAGAGGAUGAUCAGCCACACUGGAACUGAGACACGGUCCAGACUCCUACGGGAGGCAGCAGUGGGGAAUAUUGGACAAUGGGCGCAAGCCUGAUCCAGCCAUACCGCGUGGGUGAAGAAGGCCUUCGGGUUGUAAAGCCCUUUUGUUGGGAAAGAAAAGCAGCAGGUUAAUACCCCGCUGUUCUGACGGUACCCAAAGAAUAAGCACCGGCUAACUUCGUG
rnacentral:rRNA from 1 species